rnacentral:rRNA from 1 species
CAGCCCUUGACAUGUCCCGUAUGGACUCCAGAGACGGAGUUCUUCAGUUCGGCUGGCGGGAACACAGGUGCUGCAUGGCUGUCGUCAGCUCGUGUCGUGAGAUGUUGGGUUAAGUCCCGCAACGAGCGCAACCCUCGCCCUUAGUUGCCAUCAUUUAGUUGGGCACUCUAAGGGGACUGCCGGUGAUAAGCCGGAGGAAGGUGGGGAUGACGUCAAGUCCUCAUGGCCCUUACGGGCUGGGCUACACACGUGCUACAAUGGCGGUGACAGAGGGACGCAAAAGGGCGACCUUUCGCAAAUCUCAAAAAGCCGUCUCAGUUCGGAUUGGGGUCUGCAACUCGACCCCAUGAAGUUGGAAUCGCUAGUAAUCGCAGAUCAGCACGCUGCGGUGAAUACGUUCCCGGGCCUUGUACACACCGCCCGUCACACCAUGGGAGUUGGCUUUACCUGAAGACGGUGCGCUAACCCGCAAGGGAGGCAGCCGGCCACGGUAGGGUCAGCGACUGGGGUG